UGGUCGAGCUGGAGACAGAAAGAGAAGAAAAGCAGCCUCGGUCCUGACCCCUGACGGAUAAUCGAGGUUUAAACUGCAGAACAACUCACAGUCACAGGAGAAAAGGACAAGAGAGAGAAGAGAAUCUGUUAGAAGAAAGACAAAGCAAACUGAAUGUUCUUAAAUGUGUGACAGAGGAAGCUCUUCAUAGACACAACAAUCUGAACAAAGCGUCACCUUCUCCUGUGUGACCAUAAACCAAGUCAGGAGAUCACCUGCUCGGAAUCUGAGAACUUCUGACUGUGACCCGGUAGUUAAGAUAAAGCCAGGGGGUGAAUUCUGGGAGUUGACAUCACCAUAACUGUGUGAAGGAGAAGGCUGUAGCUGUUGUGAGGGUCUUAUCAUAAAUUCAGUAAGAAAACUAAAGUGGACUUAAAUCAGUUCAGAGCAGCUUCUCACACACACAGAGGAGCUGCAAGGGAGUGUAGACAACCUGUGAGGAAAACCAAACCGCCAUCACAGUGCUGACUCUAGAAACUUAAUAAGUAACUAAGAACUGAAGCAGAACUGAGAGGAGAACAUUUAAAAGAAGGUUCUGAAUGAGUAAUGUUUCCUGGGAAAUAUUUUGGAUAAAAAUUAUAAGAAAUAAAAUCACACGUUAUGUGCCUAUCUAUAAGUGCAAGAGAAAGAACCAACUAAGGUAACAAAGACUCAUGUUUGGUGUUGUCUGUUGAUGUCGUCUGUCUGUAUGCACUUGAAUACGUACAUCUUCAGGUGUCCUUAUAUUAGAAAUACAUUUUAUUUUUGACUAUGA